UAGAGAGUAGUAUAAAAGGUAGUACGAAAAAUUUUGGAUUUUUUUGUGGGGUUCGAAUCCUCUCUUUCUAA
rnacentral:tRNA from 1 species